rnacentral:rRNA from 1 species
AGACGUCUACAUUAGAUACCCCGGUAGUCCCAGUCGUAAACUAUGCGCGUUAGGUGUAUCGGUGACCACGAGUUACCGAGGUGCCGAAGGGAAACCGUGAAACGUGCCGCCUGGGAAGUACGGUCGCAAGGCUGAAACUUAAAGGAAUUGGCGGGGAGCACCACAACAGGUGGAGCCUGCGGUUUAAUUGGACUCAACGCCGGGAAGCUCACCGGAUAGGACAGCAGAAUGAUUGCCGGGCUGAAGACCCUGCAUGACUAGCUG